AUGAACGCUGGCGGCGUGCCUAACACAUGCAAGUCGAGCGAUUUACUUCGGUAAAGAGCGGCGGACGGGUGAGUAACGCGUGGGUAACCUGCCCUGUACACAUGGAUAACAUACCGAAAGGUAUGCUAAUACGAGAUAAUAUGCUUUUAUCGCAUGGUAGAAGUAUCAAAGCUCCGGCGGUACAGGAUGGACCCGCGUCUGAUUAGCUAGUUGGUAAGGUAACGGCCUACCAAGGCGACGAUCAGUAGCCGACCUGAGAGGGUGAUCGGCCACAUUGGAACUGAGACACGGUCCAAACUCCUACGGGAGGCAGCAGUGGGGAAUAUUGCACAAUGGGCGAAAGCCUGAUGCAGCAACGCCGCGUGAGCGAUGAAGGCCUUCGGGUCGUAAAGCUCUGUCCUCAAGGAAGAUAAUGACGGUACUUGAGGAGGAAGCCCCGGCUAACUACGUGCCAGCAGCCGCGGUAAUACGUAGGGGGCUAGCGUUAUCCGGAAUUACUGGGCGUAAAGGGUGCGUAGGUGGUUUCUUAAGUCAGAGGUGAAAGGCUACGGCUCAACCGUAGUAAGCCUUUGAAACUGGGAAACUUGAGUGCAGGAGAGGAGAGUGGAAUUCCUAGUGUAGCGGUGAAAUGCGUAGAUAUUAGGAGGAACACCAGUUGCGAAGGCGGCUCUCUGGA
rnacentral:rRNA from 1 species